UAGAUAUAGCAGCAGGGACAUUUCUCCAGGACAGGACCCAAAUUGCUUGACAUGAUGAUUUCAUUCUAGGAGGAGUGCUGGGUCUCCUUUCACAGUGGCCUUCAAGUGUUCUCAGAUGUCAUCAGCUAGGGGUAGAUGUGUGCGGGUGGAGUAGGCUGUUAACAGACGGGACUCUUACUUUCAUCAGUUUGAAAACCACAACUUUUUAACUGAUAGAAUUCAUAAACUUCAAACAUGUAAACUAUUCCUGUUCAUGCAAAUGUCAAGCAAAAAGUCCAACACCAGAGUACCUCAGGCUCAUGAAAAUGAGACAGUCAAGCCAUUCCUGAAAACAAGCACAUAUAAACUGUUUAUGUAUAAUUUGCAGGCCUGCUAGUAGUCUUCCCAAACCAGCUUCUGGGAAAAGCAGAAUAUCAUUUUUAGCCAGGAGUGUGGUCACCAAGCAAUGGAUUUUUCCAGGAGACACCUACAAUAUUUGAUAUCCAAACUCCCUGUCCUCUUUCCUGGCCUUAUACCCAGAUUGGAACCCACCAGGCAAACCCCAAACUUUGCAUUGCAGGCAGGCACUGUGAAGUGCACCCUGGGGAAAGGCCUAGAAAGAGUGAGCCAGUGUUCAAAAUGAAAUCCUUCCACAGUAUUUGUCUCCCAGCCUCUCCACACACUCCUGGGCCCCACAGCCUGCUCAAGGCUCUCCUGGAAUCCCUUAUUUGUGUCUUAGAUGGUGGGUGGAGGCAGGUAUGACAGCGCAUCCCUGUCAUCCCAGGACUCUGGGAAGCCUAAGCAGGAGGAACAGAGGCAGGAAGAUUGCAAGUUUGAGCCCAGCCCAGGCAAUUUCGCAACUUAGUGACAUUCUGUUUUGAAAUACUAAUUAAAAAAAAAAAAUCUGGAGAUAUAAGAAGGGGUGGGGAACUGAGGCUCUCCAAGGGACUUUUCCUGUAAAUCUGAUGCUGUAUCUAUUUGUCAGGAUCCACAUUUGCUUUGGAAAGCCCUAUAUACUUGUGUCUCUGGUAAAAAUAAGUUAACGUGAUUUUUGAGGUCUUUUAAAUUUUACUAUUUUAACCAUUUUUAAGUGCACAGUUAAGUAUUAGGUACAUUCAUGUUGUGGUGCAAAUAUCACCACUAACCAUCCACAAAGCUUUUUUUCAUCUCAAAGAACUGAAAUUCUAUAUCCAUUAUACACGACCGCCCCCCACCCCCAUCCCUGGCAACCACCAUUCUCUUGUCUCUAUAUUUGACUACUCUAAAUAUCCCAUGUGAGUGAAAUUAUAUAGUACCGUUCUUUUGUGAGUGGUCUCUUUAAUUUAGCAUAAUUCUGCAAGGCUGUAGCUUGUGUCAGAACUUCCUUUUUAUAGCUGAAUAAUACUGUAGAUUAUAAACCACAUUUAUUUAUCCAUUCAUCUGUUUUAGGUUUGCAUGUACCUUUUGGCUAUGGUAAAUAUGGGAUCAACUGAGACUAAGUUAUUUCUUACAAAGGCACAUUCCUCAGUUGGUUUUCAGUUUGUUUACAAACUAAAUUAAGCUACAGUUUGGUACAUAGGACUGGCCCAAAUUUAGUUCGAUUUAACACCACCAAGCUAUUUUCCAGGAGACACCAGCUGGAUGUCCUAUAAUUCAGUUCAAUUCUGACACCUAUCUACCUGUCCCAUAAACCCACGCCCCCAUUUCAGAUGGCAAUGCCAAGUGCCAGGUUGUGACCUGUGUUUCUUUUCUUUUUUUGUGGUACCAGGGAUUGAACUCAGGACCUUGUGCUUGCCAGGCAGGCACAGCACUGAGCCACAUUGCCAGCCCAUGACCUGAGUUUCCGACUGGCUAUAAAUUGGGGUUCCUGGUCCCCAAUCUGGAGUUCAGUAGUUUGCUAGGAUGGUUCACAGAACUCACAAAAACACUACUUACAUCAAUUAAAUGGAGAUUAUAAAAGAUACAGAUGAACAGCCAGUGUAUCUUUGGCCUUUACCCUGGGAUUUGUGAAGGAGAGAGAGAAUUUCAGGGCUGAAGAUGCCAUCUUGAAAUCAAGCAUCAAAACUCUUUGAUGAAAAACCCCCAGAAAACUCUUCGAUGAGGCUAUUAAAAUAUAAAUGUCAUAGAAGAAAGUGUGCUCUCCAAACCCUCUUUUAGAAGGUGUUGAUGUAUCUGUCACCCUUAAAAGAACUUUUUUAAAGCCUAAUGUUUUCUCACCAAUAAUCUCUUUGCUCUAAAUUUAACACUAUUUCAAUAUUGUUUUAAUUCUUGUGGUAAAUACUAAUGAGGAGAUAAUCUUUCAUGUUGUGAUCCAAUGAACUUGCCACUGAGUGAAUAAUAAGUACAUUAAAAAAAUUUGGAGGAGGUCGGGGAUUUAGCGUAGUGGUUCUGCCACCUGCCCCAUAAGCACAAGGACCGGAGUUUGAUCCCUGGUGCCAAAAAAAAGAAAUUUUUUUUUGAGGGGCUGGGGAUGUAGCUCAGUGGUGCUGCACCUGCCUGGCAAAUGCAAGGUCCUGAGUUCAAGCUUCAGUACUGAAAAAAAAAUUUUUUUUUUAAGGAAAAAAGUG
ensembl:lncRNA